UAAGGAAAACGAAAAAACUAAGUGAAGAGUCGGUUCGUUACAUUCAAAACAGCCCGCCCUCAAACGUUUUCUUCGAUUGUUAACUUUCUCUUUCUCUUAAGACUUCUUGCUCUGGUUCAACAAAUCAUCAUCUGGUUUGUGGUUUGGGAUGCUUUUUUGAUCGUCUCAGGCGUUGUUUGAAGAGAUGGUUCGUCACUCCCAUCUAGUUUUGGACGCUUUUUUAUCUUCUCAGGCGACGUUUGAAGGGCUCAGAUGCUGCGAGACGCGAUUGUAGAUAACUUUCUCUCUUGCUUGGCCAUCUCUGUGAGGCAACAAGCCUUAAGGGAUUAGAACUAAGAAGGGGUUCUGUCGAUCGGUCAUGGCGAUCCGGAAAAGCUUAUAAAAUUUCAAGCCAUUUCAUCGCCAAAACCAUUGUUUCACUUGUGUUCCUGUUCCCGGUCCUACGUGCGCCCAGAUUCGUAACUGUGAUCGUUUACUUUUGGCCUCUCUUCCUCUCUACAGCCAUGUUUCUCUCCGCCGAUGUCGUCUUUGGUUGGUUAUCUUCAAUGUAACCUGAAGAUUCCGGGGAGAAAAGCAGGAGAAGGGAUAUUAGAUUAUGUUGCCGGACAACCGGAACAGGUGGGGGAAUCGGAAGAGGAGUGUCAGAAGACCCCGAAAUCUGAGAAAUCUGAGAUGAUUCGUCACGAUGUUUGAAGUGCUCGUUGCUACACGGAUUUCUCAGCCAAAGAAAUAAUUUGGAUGUGAAACAGAAGUAUGGCCGUGAAGGCAAAAAUGUUAAAGCAAAAGUUAAAUUGGAUCCUUUCUUUCCAAAGAUUGGUCUAUUGAGCUCUAAUUCGCUGUAAGAGGGAAAAGCAUUCUAGGAAUAUAUGGUCUCAAGUCAGAUAUUCAUGAUGUUAAAGCAUGCAGAUGAGCUGUCACUGAAUGAGCUACUUGAUGGCAGUUAUGAAUGUUCUAAUAUAUGCCAAGACAUAUGGAACGGAAACCCGAUAUUUCUCAGCCAAAGAAAGAUCAACUCUAGAUCGGCUUAUGGAACAGUAACACUUAGCGUUUUUGCAAUCUCUUUUUCUUUGGACUUUACAUACUCGUAGUAAUUAAAACAGCCCUUUCUUGAUCAAACAUUUAGUCACCUUAAAAUGUAAAAAUACUCUAGAAUGUCGGUGGGUUUUGGACGUCAUGAAUUCAUGGCCCCAAAACGGAACAUAUUCUCAUGAAUAGGACUUGCAAACUUCCAAAGAUAUCUGGAAAUGACUAAAACCAUAUUAUACAGUUUAAUUUUAAUAUGUAUUAGGCACAUGCUCGGCCUUUUCUUUAUUUUCUAUGCAGUCCCUUCUUGUGUUUGGCUAGCUGGUGAUAAGAAGACAAUAUGAGAACUGAAAGAAGACAGGUCAUAAUAUGCAUAAGGGACUCAAUGUCUCUUUUAAAAAUUGGAUAAGAAUUGGCUGAAUCAGUUGUCGAUUUGGAAUCAAUUGAAACCAAUGAGUGCCAAAUUUUGUGUUGGGUGGUUGCUGAUGUUCUACCUGAUGUUUAGUUUUGUGCGUACAACUCAUUUUGAGGCACUAACAAAAUCUUUGGACUGAUGGUGUUUGACAUUUAUAGAAUUAUAGAUGGAGUAUCAUGGGAUUGGAGGAAUACUCAUUUCAAACAGGAUUCAAUGGUUCUGUAGGUUAGUGGGUUAAGAUAGGUUUCAGAACCUUGUCUACGGCGUCAAAAAAGUGGAAAUGAAUGCUUUUAGGUUUUAUCAUUUUGAUAGACUUUGUUGCUUAUUGAGAUUCUUUGAUAGAUGGCAUCAACUUUUAUCAGUGCUCCUCCACUAUCAUCAUAGUUUCAUUUUUUUUUAAUCUUUCAGAACACCUACUGUUUUCAAUAUGUAACCUUUUAGAUGCAGGAUAUGGAUCACUUUCAUUGAUAUUCAGCUUAGUGGGCACUUGAUUGCUGCAAGAGUUACUAGAUUUGGAGAGAGAGAGAGAGAUACUUUUGCUUGGAUACGGCUAUGGUUGUGGGGAAUCAACCCCUAUGAAAACAGUCUGAUUUUGAUUUUACUGUACAGGUCAUUAUUUGUUCUCUCAAUAUCUUGAUAUAGCUUAUGAGUGAAAUGAGGUAUUAUCAAGGUGAACAUGUGGUUGUAGGAGACACUUGCAUUAGUAGUUGUAAGACUAGAGGUGUUUGGAGACUUUCGUUUGUCUUGUGCUACACUUUUCAGUUGACAAUAAGGACCUAAAGAUUUCUUAGUAGGAAUUAAAUGCAGAUGUUGCCAACUCUAUACAUUGUUCCACACAUUAUGUAACAUUUUUCGAAAGGCACCCUGCUGAGAUAUAUAUCUGAUGUAACCAAUGGGUGAGAGACAGGGACAGAGUCCAAUGCUGGGAGCUGUUCGUCUGAAACUCUAAGAUAAGAAGAGCUUGUGCUGACUGAUUUGGAUGUAUCAGCAAGGGAACCAAGGCUGAAAGUUUCAUGAUGGCUAAAAUGACAUUUUCAUAGAUCAUGAACAACCUUUGUGCCCAGGAAUACAGGUCUGGAAGGGCGGGGAUUGAAUGCCAACAACAUUUUGAGACUGUGCCAUCACUUAUUGUGCCCGAAGUUCUUUCCAUCAGGUUGUGCAGCUGAAAUAUGGUCUGAGUUUAGGUGGUCGAUUUAAGUUGAGAUAUACAUAUUUGUUUCCUUAAAAGAAGAUCUCUCCCUCCUCCCUCCAAUUCGGCAGUUCCCGCCGCCAAAUCCUCCUACUGUCCCCCUCCCUCCUCUUGUUCUACGCCUCCUCUUUCCCCUUCCUCCUUCUUGGGUCCUCCUCUAUCCUCCCUUGCUUAUACCCCCCAGAAUUCUUGGAAAUCUGUGGCCACUCCUAGCACUCACCCUUCCUGUGUUGGCCUACCUUUGUCGUUCAUCAAACCCACCCUCCUCAAUGAUUCCCUUUUGGGCUACUGCCCUGAUGGAAUGCUUGAUUCUGAAAUUACAAAAUGGAGCAAAUGUCUCAUUGGGAAUUUCCUGGGCAGUGGACCCCCUUUCCCAAUUGUUAAGGCCUCUCUUCUCGGAAAUGGAGAACUUCUGGUAUGCUGCAAAUGGAAGCUAUGAUACCCUUUGAAUCAGUCCAACAUCCUCUUGACCCCCUCAGGGAAGAAAGCAGCGUCAGAAAGUUUUCUGGGACCUAUGACAUAUUAGAGGCGAGUGCCGUUUUGUCAUGGCCUAUGCUUGGUUCCUAGGUUGUCACCUUGGUCUUGUUCACUUUUUGUUCAAAACAUAGUGCCUUUUCUAACCGCAUCAUUUGUGUGUGCAGGUAGCAUACUUUAUGUGAGAUGCAUGUAAUCAUGUAGUAAAAAAAAAAAAAAAAAGAAUAGAGAAUUAAUUAUAACCCAAAAGUACCCAAUACAUUGUUUUGUUGUUCACUUGUUCGGUGUUCAUCCUUAAGAACAUGGUUCAACCCUAUCUCGAACCUCCCAUGGUGAUGGGCGGUGACAUUGCUGCAGGCUACCAUCCUCCUUGACAUGAUUAAUGAUUACUUGAUUUCUAUGGUUGAGAAUGACUGUAUUCCUAUCUAUGUAUUCUGGUUGGUGGUUGUCCCAUUUUUAUGAUUAAUGAUUACUUGAUUUCUAUGGUUGAGAAUGACUGUAUUCCUAUCUAUGUAUUCUGGUUGGUGGUUGUCCCAUUUUUAUGAUUAAUGAUUACUUGAUUUCUAUGGUUGAGAUAGAAUAUUGAUUGUUUGAGGAGUAAGUGGUGGCAGCCCCUUACAGGUGUUAUCUUUGUAAGAAUGAUGUGAAAUCUGUUAAUUAAAUAUUGUUAGCAUAAAUUUCUUUAUGGGAAUUACAAGGCAGAUGGAUGGAGUGAUUGGAAAAUUUGUGAGCGUGCCCCAGAAAACAUGCAUUCCCUUAUAAGUUGGAGACUUGAUUUCCUGCAGUUGCUUUUGUACAUUGAGAAAGCAGUCAUAGAGUUGAUCCUUAACACUGAAAUAGUGAAAGAAGUUAUAGCUUCCAAGACUCUUACUAGUGCAUUUGGAGCAACCUAUAAGUAUGACGUUUUGAUAAUUGCAAUUGGCUCUAUAGUCUUUAGGUUGUCUGACUUUAGUGUUUCACUUCGAUGUAAGAAAUUGAUGAUACUAACAAGCUUAUAGAAGCAAUUAAGGCAAAGAAGGAAGGAAAGAUUGAGCUUGUUGGAGGGGGAUACAUUGGUCUAGAGCUUAAUGCUGAAAUGAAGAUUAACAAUUUUGAUGUUACUAUGGUGUAUGCCUCGGCUCUUCACUACUGCUAUAACUGCUUUCUAUGAGGGUUAUUAUGCCAAGAAAGGUGUCAAAAUUAUUAAGGGAACAGUUGCAGUUGGGUUUUAUACUAAUGCAAAUGGGGAGGUGAAGGCUGUGAAAUUGAAGGAUGGGAGGGUACUAGAUGCUGACAUUGUUGUUGUUGGUGUUGGGGGAAGACCCCUUACCACAUUGUUCAAAGGACAGGUUGAGGAAGAGAAAGGUGGAAUUAUGAUUUGUGUUUCCCAUAUCCUUUUAAAUCUGAACUGCCUUCAGUUCUAAUUAUGUUGUGGAGAAUUUUUUCAGUGCCAUCCACUACCCUAUCUGAACCACCAUAACCAUAAUUAACAUGUUUAACCACCCAAUUUACAAGGAUUGCAGUUAGUGAAUGCCGUGAUGGAAUUCUUUUAUAUUCCUAUCAAUAGGUAUGUUAGAACUUCAUAAGUCUUUAAAUAAAGGCACUGUCUAAAUGACAUCUCUAUAGGUGUAUUCAGAAGUUGACACCUUCUUUUAAUUUCCAAAAUCACUAUCUAAAUGACAUCUCUAAUGUUCAGUAAGACCUCUCUUCUUGUUAGCAUAAGAUUUUGUAGAGCAUGUACUUGGAGAUAUGCAGUGUUUCUUAUUUGCCAGGUUAAUAUCUGAAAUAGAGGUUGUUUUUAGGUUGUGGUUGGCUGAUGCUCCAAAGAAUUUGUUGUUUAGUAUGCUUUUUAAUUUACUAUUUUUCCACAUAUGCAUUUUUAUAAUUUUCUUUAGCUUAGUUAUGCUACUAAUUUGAACUUGAUAAUCGUACUUAAAUUGAAGUGUCUUUUUGUUCAAUGCAGUCUUCGUAGGUUGCUUUAAUUUCUCUUAGCUUUGUUGUAGCCCUCUUUUGCUUGCAUGUUGUUUGAUUAACUGGUUUGUUGUGAGCCUUUCCACCCCUCCUUCCCCUUUUAUAUUCUUCCCUUUUGCGUAGUUGUAUUAUUUGUUCACCAAAAAAAAAAAAGUGUGUUUAAAGGAGUGUAAAUAUACUUAAAAAUUUUUCUCCAACCUUUUGUAAGUGUGUGUGUGUGUGUUCACUUAUUCAUUAGAUGAUUAACCAUCUUUAUGCUCAUCUUUUUUACUCAAUUAUUAGUUUGUAACAUCUCUCCUAAUUUCAUUGAAAGUGAUUCUAAGAUGCUUGUUCAACUUAUGCUCUCUCAUAUCAGCACUCCUUGGGCUAUAUCCUAGAUUAUCAAUCAAUGUCAGCUUCUUCUAUCUCCUGCCAUGAAGAUUCAGCAUGCCUACAGGGAGGGGAAUGCAGUUGCAAAUAGGCUUGCUUUUGAGGCUCACUCUCACACGGUAUAUUCUGAUUUUGCAAUGGAUUUGCAUCAGAAAGAACAACUUCAUGACAGUGCUAUGUCCAUGAUGCAGUCCCACACUACCCACUAGCUUUUGUUUCAGGGACAGGAAAGCUAUUUUCAUGUUGGAAGAUGAUCCAAUGGUUUGUUGCUUCUUGUGGCUAAAAUUCAGUGUCCAACAUGUGGAUUUAUCAAAUCCACUGUUUUUCAAUUGUGACUGAUAUUUGCGAUAAGACUGACAAAGAGCUAGAGCACAAGAAUAAAGCUGGAAAAUCCCAUCGCCUUCCUUUCAUUCCCAAAGAUGAGGAGCUAAGUGAUGAAGAUCUUACGGAACUGUUGGAAGAAUGUUACAGGCCUAGUUCACAGCAUGUUGUGUAUUUUGAAGACGAUUAUGAGGCUAAAAGUUCUCUUGUAGGAAAUGGGCCUAUGCCUUCCAAGUUCAAAUGAGGAUCCAACCAAUUGGAGAGUCAAGUGUGUGGGUAGACGUGAGUGGUAUUCAGUCUUCUGCCUCGUGCAAAAGUAUGUUGACUUGAAUCUCUCGGAACCAAUCUGCAAACUAUUUCCGAUUUUUAAUUUGAGGAUACAAAAAGUUAUAGUUGAAGCUUGUAGGGAAUUUGAUGUAAUUGAGGUAUCUUCCAUUGCCUAUUAGUCUGCUGCUAAAAAGUUUAUCGAUAUGCUAUAGUGUCUUUAUAAAUUCUAGCUAUUAUUGAGUUAAUUAGAAAGUUGUUUAUUACUGUUAUUAUUAUUAGCAGUGUUACCGUAUAGGAGACUAAUAUAGGAUUGACAAUAUUUACACUUCAGGCAUGUAAAGAUCUCAGUAUUAUUUAUUCUAGUAGAUUGUCAUGCAUUCCAAUA